rnacentral:lncRNA from 1 species
UGUACGGUUAAACUUUGUUAAAAAAAUUCAGAUCGAAGAUCUACGUACACAUUAUUAUGAAUCCUACAACUGGAGUCAAAAGUUUUUGUAUUGAUUUUAAAAACUGAUUUCACAGUCGUUCCAAGAGUGUAUGUAUAUAUACAUACAAUAUAUCAAUUCAUGGUUCUCAUAUCCUAAUACAUUCAAAUAUUGAAGAUGAACGCAAUGCGGUGGACUGCUUUCCUGAAUAGAAAAGUAUAAACCCCCCUCCCCUGCAAAUUUAUCGUAUGGGUGUAAUGAUUCUCUGGAAAAUAUCAAACAUUUUGAUAACUUUAUUGAAUUCUUUUUAUUUUUCGAGGAAGAAGUUUGGUUAAUCUUGUGUGCAAGCCCUGGAUUUUUAUUUACACAACUGCUACUAAUUGUUGUGUAACAUCUUCUUCAAAUGGUAAAUAAUUUAUUUAGCCCUUGGAUCUUGUGUAGACUUUUACCAAUGUGCGCAACGUAUAUUUCAUUCAACUCUCCUACUUCAAAAUGUUACUAAGCGUCCCUACUUGUCUCAGCAAACACCCUGUAUGCUGAAUGAGUAUGGCUAAAUAACUCUUCAUGAUUAUUCAAUCAACUAUAUAUUCAUCUAUUAACGAACUAGCUAGACUACUUUACAUUAUUUUGAGAAGAGAUGAAUAUAUGUUCAUAACAAUUCCAAAUCUUGAUAUGAGAUAAACUAAUAAUAAAAGCUAUAUGUUAUACUA